rnacentral:rRNA from 1 species
CCUACGGGCGGCAGCAGUGAGGAAUAUUGGUCAAUGGGCGCGAGCCUGAACCAGCCAAGUAGCGUGAAGGAUGACUGCCCUACGGGUUGUAAACUUCUUUUAUAAAGGAAUAAAGUGAGGCACGUGUGCCUUUUUGUAUGUACCUUAUGAAUAAGGAUCGGCUAACUCCGUGCCAGCAGCCGCGGUAAUACGGAGGAUCCGAGCGUUAUCCGGAUUUAUUGGGUUUAAAGGGAGCGUAGGUGGAUUGUUAAGUCAGUUGUGAAAGUUUGCGGCUCAACCGUAAAAUUGCAGUUGAAACGGGCAGUCUUGAGUACAGUAGAGGUGGGCGGAAUUCGUGGUGUAGCGGUGAAAUGCUUAGAUAUCACGCAGAACUCCGAUUGCGAAGGCAGUUCAC